GUGAGGAAUAUUGGUCAAUGGACGAGAGUCUGAACCAGCCAAGUCGCGUGAAGGAAGACGGUUCUAUGAAUUGUAAACUUCUUUUGUGCAGGAAUAAAGUGGGUUACGUGUAACCUUUUGUAUGUACUGUACGAAUAAGGAUCGGCUAACUCCGUGCCAGCAGCCGCGGUAAUACGGAGGAUCCGAGCGUUAUCCGGAUUUAUUGGGUUUAAAGGGUGCGUAGGUGGAUUGAUAAGUCAGAGGUGAAAGUUUGCAGCUUAACGGUAAAAUUGCCGUUGAAACUGUCGGUCUUGAGUGCAAAGGAGGUAGGCGGAAUGUGUUGUGUAGCGGUGAAAUGCUUAGAUAUAACACAGAACUCCGAUUGCGAAGGCAGCUUACUGGGAUGCAACUGACACUGAUGCACGAAAGCGUGGGUAUCAAACAGGAUUAGAAACCCUGGUAGUCC
rnacentral:rRNA from 1 species